GGAAGCAUAACUCAAUAGGUAGAGUAAUCUACUUUUAACAGAUUAAUCCUGGUUCAAGUCCAGGUGCUUUCA
rnacentral:tRNA from 1 species